rnacentral:lncRNA from 13 species
GGUUCAUGGCACGCCCAGGACCACAGAGCUACUAGCAGAGACCACCUACGCCUCUGCCCCUGGCCUGUGCUCUUCACAGCACACUCUGCCACACUCCCUCUCCUGUGUGAAGGCUCCCCCGGGAAAGAGGAAAAACAGGAGUUAUUCUAGGCAAAGUAACCUUAAAUCCGACAGCAGCAGAUCAAUUAUAAGUAAGUGCAGCUCCAGGACGUGCUCCCCUAUCUUCCCAUCAGACCUCAGUCAGCAGCCAUGGACAUGGGCCUCUAUCUCCUCCGAACUGCUUUCCCCACCCUAGUUCCCACUCUGGAAUAGGUCCCCCCAAGAGCCAAGGCCCCCAGCCCAUUAUGGCAUCUUUAUUCUCUGUUUCUCUAGAAACAGCUGGUUCUGCUCAACUCCCAGAGAUGAUUUUCCAAAAACCCCAACACUUCCAUUUGCCCGGGCUGCCAGAGAGAGAAAGGGCAUCCUCAAAGACACUGAAGACCACCUUCUAGAAGCCACCUGCACUGUCUAUCAUGUGACUGGCUCUGGGUGCCCUCUGUCUUGCGAAAGGGGCUGGCUCAGAUGGCAAAGAUAUUCCAGAUCUUCCUGAAGAAGACAGAAAGAGAUGCUCAGGUUGGGGAGGGAAUGAGACCCCUGGGGAAGGGACUCCUCCCAGCUGAGGAGUUGAUUAGAAGCAACCUUGGAGUUGGCAGGAGUCUCAGAGAUUGCCUGAGUUAGUCCAAGAAGCAGGCUGAAGGAGUUUGGGAGCAAGAGACUAAAACCAGCCAAGUUUGGGACAGAAAGGAAGGAAAGGGUUGAGCGGUGAACAGAAAGACAAAGAACAGGCAGUUCCAAAGAGCCAAGAAUGCAAAUCAUUUGCAGACGCCGCCAGCGAGAGCCUCCACCGAGGCUGCUGUGCCGGGGGUGCCUGACGCUGUGGGCACAGCCACUUCUACACGUCACGAGAAUAGACAAAAUGGGCUUGCAGAUGCUGACUGGCUGCAGUCAUCCUUGGCACCUGCUCCCAUGGAGGUCUCACCUACUGUGACACUUGGAGAGCUGGCAGUCAUCACUCAAGAAAUCAAGACACAUUUGGCCUCUGCCGCAGCAUCAGGGAACAAAACAAGGACUAAGGCUGUCGGCUUUCAAGAAAAAUACUGAUGUGCAUAAACAUAUGUGACAUAAAUUUAUUCAGUGACUUUGAGAUAUCUUACUCUAAACAGAUAAAAUUAAUUAAAACUAGUGCAAAUUUCUGCCAACGGUACUCC